AUAAAAAAAAUUGUGUCUCUAUUAUAUCUCUCUGUCACUGUAAAUUAUCACAUUCAUCUCUCCCUCUCAUCUCUCAUCUUUCUUCCUCUCUCUUUCUAGACCACCAUCAACACCACAGCCACAACCAUCUCCGUCUCCAACCACCACCUCUGCACAGCCACCAUCCCCACUCUCACCCCCACCUCACAGUCCUUCCCCUUCAAGUAAACAGCCGGCCACAUUAAAUUCAUCCAGAUCCACAUUUGGUGGCUUGAUUCCACAUUAAAUUCAUCCAGAUCCAAUUUUUAUUUCACAGCCACAACCACCUCCGACACCAACCUGCUCAAUUCUUCCACAGCCUCACCUCCCAUACCUGUUCAAAUCACCAUCGAUUACACAAACAGGAAGCAAAAACGGUUAAUUGGAUGAUGUUUAUCGUAGACAAUGAGGAUGUGACACGGAUGUAUCAGUUGGUUCGAAAAACCCUAACAAAUUGGGGGAAAUAGAUCGAUUUGAUUUGAUUAUGUGUGUUGGUAUUGAUGGUAGAGAACGGAUUCAAUAUGAUUUGGGAAUGAAAUGGAAUUGAUGAAGGUUUGGAGGAAUGAAAAGGAUGAGGAAGGAAGAGAUGAAAAUCACGUCUGUGAAGAAAAUGGAUGGAAGAGGGAUGAGAGAGAGAGGGUGGAUGAGAGAGAGAGAGAGUUAGGAGAGAGACUGCAGAUUUUUAUUUUUAUAAGUAUAAAUAUAUACAAAAAGAUGAAAAAAUACCUUGUGCAUAGAGACUUGUACUUUGUAUCUAAAUGACUAAAUUGCCGUUGUAGUUAACAGAUUAGGUGGAUGGUGUUACAAAAUUGGACUCGAAUGGUUAAAGAAAAUGCUUAUGGGGACUCAGGUCGUUAAACUUUUUGAUUUUGGACUCAACUAGUUAAAACCCAUAAAACACAGGGACUCAAAAAGUAAUUUACCCUUUUAUUAAUAAUCACGUUACAAAACUAAUGUAAUUACACUAACAAUCUAAAUAUUUGGAAUAAGAUUCAAGAGGUUGUAUUCAUUAGGCGUCUUUCAACCUCUUUGACCCAUAAGGUUUAUUCAUGUCAUAGACAUCAACCUUAGCCCGGCCACGCAUGUGACCUGAGCAUGACCAUUUGACGCAUUUAUCUAAGCAGGUCACAAACGUGUUGGCGGGUUGAACUUAUAAGUUGUAUGUUUUUUAAUUCUAAUUUUAAACGGGUACAACAUGAAAGCACAACCCAAAAUCGUAUUAUUAUCAUGUCAUGUGAGGAG